rnacentral:lncRNA from 1 species
CCGCAUACCCCCCGCGGAGAGGUGUACGUUACGGUGCUACGGAGGCCUUACUGGUCCUAACGGCUGCUCGGGAAGGGUGAGGGAUGUAUCCUUGUCUGCUCCUGGCUUUUACCCUCUAAUUCAGGGCUAUGCUGGGUCCUGAGAAGCCUUAAAGCCAGGCCAGCACCUCAAGCUCCGGUUCCUGUGUGCUGCUCAGCCCAGACCUGCAACCGUCAGGUCACUUCAGGUUGGAAGGAUGCGGCCCAGUGCCCGCCCGCAACGAGGAGUUGCCUUAUAUCACAUAGGAAAAAACUCUUUCUUUCAGGUUCCUGCAUUGCAGAAGUGCCAGCUUGGUAUUUUAUACAGCAGGCAGCAGGUUGAUGUGGGUGCAGAUUGGAGCUGAAAUCCUAAUACAUACAAAAUACAGCCCUUCUUCUCUUCCCAGCUAAAUAACAAAGUACAGGUAAAUAACAAUAAAGGUAAAUAACAGGUAAAUAAAGGUAAAUAACAAAGUACACUGAAAUGUGUACUGAAUUCCUGACUUUUUGGUCAUUGCAGCUUAACUCUUAGCAGUGCUCCUUUCUCAGUUUCCAGUAUGACUUCUCCAGAAGAGCCUACAAAUUGCUGUGGGGCUUGUUAAGGACUUUAAUGAGCUGCUGAGGAAGACAGCGGGGAUUUGUGUGCAAGGUCAGUGGUUGCAAUCCACCACAGCCUUUGCCACAACCAGCUAAUGGCUGCUAAAUGGCAGUCACAGCAAGUUAGUCAAGGUCUGAAGAGGCCAUGCAAAUUCAGCAGUUCCUGGAGGUUAAGAGCACAGACAAGAUUGCUCGUGAAUACUUUCACCCUGUUGUGAAUGCCAAAAGUCUUCAGAGGAGGUCACUGCACAGCACUGCAGAUGCAAAGAUGAAGCUUCAGGAAAGGAAACCACUCAGAUGUCGAUAAGUGAUGUGCCAGAUCAGGUUUGACAAAGACAGCUCCUGGCCUUCCUGGGGCUGCUGAUGUUCAUUAGCAUUGUGAGAUACCUCUGAGCACACUGAGGUGGAGCUGCUGAAGAUCCUGCAAGGCAGUGCGUCACCAGUUUCAGCUGAACAAGGCUAAUACUCAGCCACUCAUUCCUAAUCUGCACAGUGACUCAUCCGCUCCCAGCUCUGAUGUUUGUUUUUUUACCAUACUUCUCCCUACCCUUUAUGGCGAUUCAAUUUUCUGCCUCUUUAUCAUCCUCUUUCAUCACAUAUAUAUGGCAGAACACACCUGGAAACAAGACCUGCAGCACAGGCAGCUGAUCUAGGAAAGCAGGGUCGCAAUGGGUUCUUGAGUGAGAGUGAGCCGAUGACUGAAUGUGAACACCUGCUGUAAAGCAAUGGCUAAUGGUCUAGGGCAAGCAUUAAGUGUGUAAGCAAAGAAGUGCCUCUGCAGGUGAAAUUCAGUUUACUGAAUCUAGACCUAAUUUUCCACGUUGGCAACCUGAUGAUGAAAAAUCAGGGGGGGUGCAGGCAGGACAUCCAGAAGUGACUUGACACAUUGAGAAAACACAGUGUAAUUGAAAUUCAUAAAAAGCUCUGUUUAGUUCAUCAUGAGCAAAAGGUGACUUAACUUGGAUGUAUGAAUACAUUUAUAAGCAUAAGAUAGUUAGUGUUAAAAGGCUCUUUAAUCCAGUGCAGAAAGGCUCAGCAAGACUCAAUGGCUGCAAGCUGAAGCCAGACAAAUUCAAAUGAGCAAUUAGGCAUACAUUUGAUAAUGGGGAACAAUUAACCACUGUAACAAACUACCAAGGGAAUCUUCAUCAGAAGAUCCCUUCAGUUCCCAGACCAGAUGCCUGGACAGUCUAGCCAGGAACAAAAAACUGAAGUACCAAGUCUGAAUUCAACGGUCUGUGACCUACAGGAGCUUAGAGAGUUUGAGCUAAUGAUGCUUUCUGUUUUUGGUUAAGGACCUAGGGAUCUUCCUCUUUCCUAGUUU